GGUGGAUUACCCAAGAGGAUAAGGGGACCGUUUCGAAAGCGGUUAGGGUGUAACAGCCGCGUGGGUUCGAAUCCCGUACUCGCCGC
rnacentral:tRNA from 1 species